rnacentral:rRNA from 1 species
UAAGUGGGAAACGAUGUGGGAAGGCCCAGACAGCCAGGAUGUUGGCUUAGAAGCAGCCAUCAUUUAAAGAAAGCGUAAUAGCUCACUGGUCGAGUCGGCCUGCGCGGAAGAUGUAACGGGGCUAAACCAUGCACCGAAGCUGCGGCAGCGAACGUAUCACUUAAAGCGAUUCAGCGGGUUACGAUUGACGGAGCGAAGCGACGUCAAAGCGUAUACAAAGUCGAGUCGGUUUAAGGAUACGUUCGUUGGGUAGGGGAGCGUUCUGUAAGCCUGUGAAGGUGUGUCGUGAGGCAUGCUGGAGGUAUCAGAAGUGCGAAUGCUGACAUAAGUAACGAUAAAGCGGGUGAAAAGCCCGCUCGCCGGAAGACCAA